rnacentral:rRNA from 1 species
UACAGAGGGGGCAAGCGUUGUUCGGAAUUACUGGGCGUAAAGAGCUCGUAGGCGGUUCGGUAAGUCGGGUGUGAAACCUCCAGGCUCAACCUGGAGACGCCACCCGAUACUGCCGUGACUAGAGUCCAGUAGGGGAGCGUGGAAUUCCUGGUGUAGCGGUGAAAUGCGCAGAUAUCAGGAGGAACACCAGCGGCGAAGGCGGCGCUCUGGGCUGGAACUGACGCUGAGGAGCGAAAGCGUGGGGAGCGAACAGG